CCCGCGCCGUAUUAGCUAGUUGGUGGGGUAACGGCCUACCAAGGCGACGAUACGUAGCCGACCUGAGAGGGUGAUCGGCCACACUGGAACUGAGACACGGUCCAGACUCCUACGGGAGGCAGCAGUAGGGAAUCUUCCGCAAUGGGCGAAAGCCUGACGGAGCAACGCCGCGUGAGUGAUGAAGGUCUUCGGAUCGUAAAGCUCUGUUGUUAGGGAAGAACAAAUGUGUAAGUAACUGUGCACAUCUUGACGGUACCUAACCAGAAAGCCACGGCUAACUACGUGCCAGCAGCCGCGGUAAUACGUAGGUGGCAAGCGUUAUCCGGAAUUAUUGGGCGUAAAGCGCGCGUAGGCGGUUUUUUAAGUCUGAUGUGAAAGCCCACGGCUCAACCGUGGAGGGUCAUUGGAAACUGGAAAACUUGAGUGCAGAAGAGGAAAGUGGAAUUCCAUGUGUAGCGGUGAAAUGCGCAGAGAUAUGGAGGAACACCAGUGG
rnacentral:rRNA from 1 species